rnacentral:lncRNA from 1 species
GUGAACUGGACUUGGUGGAUGGUGUGGAAGGGACUUUGGGAGAGACCUGUGCCCAUGAUAAAAGGGAAGAUGAAGAUGUUCCUUUGAGUUUGCAUGUGUGGGGCCUUUUUGGCAUGGUUGACUUGUCUGUACUCCUUCCUGUGACUUGACAUCAAAAUUAGAGGUGGAGAAAUGUAGAGACACAGACACAUGGGAGAAGGCCAUGUGAUGGCACAGGCGGAAAGUGAAGUCCUGCAGCUGCAAGCCAAGAGCGCCAAGGGUUGACAGCAAACCACCAGAGCUAGGGACAGGCAAGGAGGGGCUCUCGCUACAGUUUCAGAGGGAGCACGGCCUCGAUUUUGGACUUCUAGCCUCCAGAACUGCCAGAUAAUAAAUUUCUGUUAUUUAAGCCACCUGGUUUGUUGUACUUUAUUAUAGAAUCCUUAGAAAAGUAACACACUAAAGUUACCUUCAAUGGGUCACGCCCUUGUGUAACCUCUCCCUUUGUGGGAAUAACCAGAGACUUGCCUCUGAUAGAAUAUGGCAGAGGUGAUGGGAUGCCACUCCUAUGGUGGUUAUGUUAUAUAAGACUCUGGAGACUCUCAGCAGACUUGGAAGAUAAGCAGACUCUUAGCAGACUUGGAAGAUAAAUUCUCUUCUGUUGGACUUGAAGAGGCAAACUGCCAUGUGGUGGCAGAGAAGUUUAAGUGGCCUGCAGGACCUCAGGGCAAACUUCAGCUAAUAGUAAGAAGCUGGGACCCUUAGUACUACAGCCAUCGGGAAAUGCAUUGUGCCACCAUCUGAAUGGGCUAAGGAGGGAUCUUCUCUAGUUAAGACCAGAUGGACACGGCUUGG